UACAGAGGUCUCAAGCGUUGUUCGGAUUCAUUGGGCGUAAAGGGUGCGUAGGCGGCGCGGUAAGUCGGGUGUGAAAUCUCGGAGCUUAACUCCGAAACUGCAUUCGAUACUGCCGUGCUUGAGGACUGGAGAGGAGACUGGAAUUUACGGUGUAGAGGUGAAAUUCGUAGAUAUCGGGAGGAACACCAGUGGCGAAGGCGGAGACCUGGGCCGAUACUGACGCUGAGGUGCGAAAGCGUGGGGAGCAAACAGG
rnacentral:rRNA from 1 species